UUGCCCAGACUGGAAUGCAAUGGUGCAAUUUUGGAUCACUGCAACCUCUGCCUCCCAGGUUCAAGCGAUUCUCCUGCCUCAGCCUCCCGAGUAGCUAGGACUACAGGCACCUGCCAUAACGCCCAGCCAAUUACUCUCUCGGUGCUGGACAAAGAUCAGACCAGGUUUGAGGAACGCUGGAAAUGAAAUUUAUGGAUAUCUAUUACUUCUACUCAUAAGCUUUAUCAAGCAAAAACAGAAAGUUCCUUGAAGGGUAUAUUGCACCAUUUUCCC
rnacentral:lncRNA from 1 species